AACGCUGGGGCAGGCUUAAUACAUGCAAGUCGAACGGUACAUGUCGGAGCAAUCUGAUGAUGACGAGUGGCGCACGGGUGCGUAACGCGUAUGCAACCUACCCAUAACCGGAACAUAACGUUGAGAAAUCGGCGCUUAAUAUUCCAUGUGUAUAUUUUGUGGCAUCAUAGAAUAUAUAAAGAUUAAUUGGUUAUGGAUGGGCAUGCGUAUCAUUAGCUAGUUGGUGGGGUAACGGCCUACCAAGGCUGCGAUGAUUAGGGGUUCUGAGAGGAUAACCCCCCACACUGGAACUGAGACACGGUCCAGACUCCUACGGGAGGCAGCAGUAGGGAAUAUUGGGCAAUGGAGGCAACUCUGACCCAGCCAUGCCGCGUGAAGGAAGACGGUCCUAUGGAUUGUAAACUUCUUUUAUCAUAGAGUAACCGCAGGGACGUGUCCCUGCCUGCAAGUAUAUGAUGAAUAAGCAUCGGCUAACUCCGUG
rnacentral:rRNA from 1 species